GUCGAGCGAUGAAACUUUAACAGAACCCUUCGGGGCGAAGAUAAGGUGGAUUAGCGGCGGACGGGUGAGUAACACGUGAGUAACCUGCCUUAGACAUUGGGAUAGCCUCGGGAAACCGGGAUCAAUACCAAAUAAAAUCAUAAUGACACAUGUCAUAACGAUCAAAACUCCGGUGGUCUAAGAUGGACUCGCGUCCCAUUAGCUAGUUGGUAGAGUAAAAGCCUACCAAGGCGACGAUGGGUAGCCGGCCUGAGAGGGUGAACGGCCACAUUGGAACUGAGAAACGGUCCAAGCUUCUACGGGAGGCAGCAGUGGGGAAUAUUGCACAAUGGAGGGAACUCUGAUGCAGCGACGCCGCGUGAACGAAGAAGGCUUUCGAGUCGUAAAGUUCUUUUAUAUGGGAAGAUAAUGACGGUACCAUAAGAAAAAGCCCCGGCUAACUACGUGCCAGCAGCCGCGGUAAUACGUAGGGGGCUAGCGUUGUCCGGAAUCACUGGGCGUAAAGGGUUCGCAGGCGGAAAUGCAAGUCAGAUGUAAAAGGCAGUAGCUUAACUACUGUAAGCAUUUGAAACUGCAUAUCUUGAGAAGAGUAGAGGUAAGUGGAAUUUUUAGUGUAGCGGUGAAAUGCGUAGAUAUUAAAAAGAAUACCGGUGGCGAAGGCGACUUACUGGGCUCAUUCUGACGCUGAGGAACGAAAGC
rnacentral:rRNA from 2 species